rnacentral:rRNA from 1 species
AGAGUUUGAUCCUGGCUCAGGACGAACGCUGGCGGCGUGCCUAAUACAUGCAAGUCGAGCGAAUGAUGAGGAAGCUUGCUUCCUCUGAUUUAGCGGCGGACGGGUGAGUAACACGUGGGCAACCUACCUUAUAGUUUGGGAUAACUCCGGGAAACCGGGGCUAAUACCAAAUAAUCUCUUUCACUUCAUGGUGAAAGACURAAAGACGGUUUCGGCUGUCGCUAUAGGAUGGGCCCGCGGCGCAUUAGCUAGUUGGUGAGGUAACGGCUCACCAAGGCGACGAUGCGUAGCCGACCUGAGAGGGUGAUCGGCCACACUGGGACUGAGACACGGCCCAGACUCCUACGGGAGGCAGCAGUAGGGAAUCUUCCACAAUGGGCGAAAGCCUGAUGGAGCAACGCCGCGUGAGUGAAGAAGGAUUUCGGUUCGUAAAACUCUGUUGUAAGGGAAGAACAAGUACAGUAGUAACUGGCUGUACCUGACGGUACCUAUAGA